rnacentral:rRNA from 1 species
UACGGGGGGGGCAAGCGUUGUUCGGAAUUACUGGGCGUAAAGGGCUCGUAGGCGGCCAACUAAGUCGGAUGUGAAAUCCCCAGGCUCAACCUGGGAACUGCAUCCGAUACUGGAUGGCUUGAAUUCGGGAGAGGGAUGCAGAAUUCCAGGUGUAGCGGUGAAAUGCGUAGAUAUCUGGAGGAAUACCGGUGGCGAAGGCGGCAUCCUGGACCGACAUUGACGCUGAGGAGCGAAAGCCAGGGGAGCAACGGGG